UGUGGGAGCGGGCUUGCUCGCGAAUGCGGUGUGUCAGCCACUGUAUUAGUUGACUGACAGGCGGUUUUCGCGAGCAAGCCCGCUCCCACA
rnacentral:misc_RNA from 1 species